rnacentral:lncRNA from 1 species
AAGUAUCCUGGUGUGUUGUCCUGUUUUCAUAGGAGUCUUCUCUGUGGUGCAAAAAAUAGUAGGUCUUCAUUUUAGUCAUAUAAAGUUUUAAUUUUGUUUAAAAGACAAAACAACAACAACAGUGGAGCCAGUAUAGUGUGUGACAUGCCUCCAAUGCUAGCAGCCAGACAGCAAAGGCAGGAGCUCUGUGAGCCAUACAUAGUGAGCCCAUGUUGUCAUUCCCCAAGCCCCCAAAACAGUUUAAGACCAGCUUGAUAUACAUAGAAAAUUUAAAAUUCUGAGCCAAGUAGAGCUAUACAGUGGAACUGUCCUAAAAACAAAUAAGGCUAGAGAGGUGGCUCCGUAGUUAAGGUACUUAACCGCUUGCUCUUCCAGAGGACCCACCCCAGUUAGGUCCCCAUCAGCUUUUACAGGUGGCUCACAGCUACCUGGAACUAAGGGAAAUAGACACCUCUAAGCUCAGUGUGUAGGCAUGCACAUACUUAAAAAGAAAUCUAGAAAUCAAGCAACAAAAAGUAUAUUAGAGCUGGAGUAUAGCUGAGUGGUGAAGCACUCAACAUCAACUAAAGUGGAUGACUUAAGGAAGAUGCUAUAAUGAUUAAACCAGUGGAUCUGAAGGACAUGGACUGUAGGUGAGCACACGGAUUUCCCCUCUCCCAUUGCUACCUUGGAGUAGGGGAACAGGAAUAAGAGAAGGUCCCUGAUGUCUAGGGAGCAGAGCCUCUGUAGAAACAGGAAAUUGGGGUUAGGGAGAGCCCAUGUCUCAGGAGCAGGACCUCACAGCAGCCUGGCUACCUCCAGCCUCCUCCUUUGAAAAUGGCAGCAUUGUCUGGCACGUGUCCUGUUUUCCACUGUCUUUGCCUUUGUAGUAAUUAAUUAAUCCGGGCCUGCUUGCCACCUAAAGUCCCUUCAGACACUUCCUAGCUCUGCAUGUCGCCUUGCAGCUGGCAAUAUACCUUCACCUGAGGUUCGGCAUCAGGUCCUAGGGACCCACUCAGGGAAAACGGAGCCAUAUGGGCCCAGAGAAAUCCUGCUUUCCCUUUGAAAGUCAGCUGGAGGCCUUUCCUCCUUUGUUCUAGAUUUUCACACAGUGAAAAACACAGUCACACACACACACACACACACACACACACACACACACCUUACUUUUUCAGAGUCAGUGACUCACUAUGAAACCCUGACUGGCCUGUAACUCACCAUGCAGACCAGCGCUGGGAUUAAAAGCCUGUAGACACCCAGCUGUUAUGAUCACAGCCUUCAGCCCAUGUUCUAGGACAGCCUUUGGAAGUAGUCUAGGGGUCCAGCCCUGGGGGUAGUCAAGAAUAGAGCUAAGAGAAAUAGAAGAUCUAUACAUGAUUUCACUAGCCUUCAAGUGAAACGAGUCCUGCUCUCCAUUUAAGAAUGGAAACUGCAUCCUGUAGAUUUCCCAGUCUAUGUGACUGUCACAACAGAAGUCAGGGAUUUCAUCUACCUCAACUAGAGGUGUAGUGGAGCACUUCAAAAGAAUAGUUACACUCAUGUUAGUGACUUCAUUUUUUUAAAUUUAUUUAUUUAUUGUAUAUGAGUAUAUUGUCCCUCUCUUCAGACACAGCAGAAGAGGGCAUCAGAUCACAUUGCAGAUGGUUUUGAGCCACCACGUGGUUGCUAGGAUUUGAACUCAGAACCUCUGGAAGAGCAGUCAGUGCUCUUAACCACUGAGCCAUCUCACCAGCCCAUAACUUCAUAUUUUUGAUAUUAGUCCUGCUCUAGAUAUUAAAGUUUAGAAGACUCACGAGUAGUUACAUAUGUUUUAAAAGUGUUUUUCUGACAUCUGCAUUUCAGUUGUUUGUUUAGAAGGCCUUGCCUUCUAAGGCAUGGGCCUGUGAUUAUGACGGAAUUGAGAGGAGGAGGUAAGAGGUUUGAGAGUCCAGGCGAGAGUGAAUUGCUCAGCUGUUAAGAGCACUUCUGCAAGAGGAAAAGGGUUUGAUUCCCAACACCCACUGGAAGCUCCCAAGGGAAUCAGCUGCUCUCUUCUGGCCUCCCAGAGCACUGCACACAUACAUUCACUCAAGAAAAACACCCAAAUGCAUUUUUUUUCUUAAGAUGAAAAAAAUUAAAAGACAGUUCAGAGUCAUCCUUGGCUACAAAGCCAGUUCAAGGCCAGCCAGGGCUUCAUGAGAUCUUACACUUACAAACACACACUAAAUUGCCCAAGAAUAAGUAAAAGAGCCAAGCAGUUGCAGCACACACCCUUAAUCCCAGCAUUCUGGAUGCAGAAGCAGGCAGAUCUUUGAGUUCAAAGCCAGCCUGGUCUACAGAGUGAGUUCCAAGACAGCUAGGAGUACUCAGAGAAACCUUGCCUUAAACAAACAAACAU